GGAGGCUCUGGAGUCAGAUUGUUGAGAUUCAAACCCCAGCUCCAACUCUUACUGGCACAUUCCUAGCCUCUGUGUGCUUGGGUCCUCUCCUAUAAGCUGGGAAUGAGGAUCACUAUCCAGUAAACGAUGUUUCCAAUAGUAACUAAAUUGUUGGAUGCCGACCUGUUUAAGGUGCAAUGAUGGUAAAAACAUGUUCCUGUUCUUGGCUGUGGAAUGGUGGAUAAAGGAAUAGAAAAGAAAACUUACCCGGCUUUGGAACUGUGAGAUGAGCAUAGAGACUUGGUCCUGCUCAUCUGUGCGCCCCGGCUCCAAACGCAGUGUCUCGCUCGGUGCAGGCAUUUAAUUUUUAAUCAACAGGCAUAAUGCUGCUGCGAGCCAGGCACAGCUCGAAAUGCCCUGCAAAUAUUAACUUACCUCCACCUUAUAAGAAAUUUUUGAAUGGGGAAGCCUGUUAUAUCUGUGCCACAGAUGAGGAAACCUAGGCAUGAAGAAAAGAAGCUUCUUGCCUAAGGCCUCAGAGAGUGGCAGAGUCGCACUUGAACCCAGACAUCCUGGCCCCAGGGUCCCCGUUCUCUGUCACCUGCUCCUCCCUUUCUCAUCAAUGUUUCACGACUCUAGGGCCUCGGAAUUUACCCAAGAGAAAUGCUUUUGCAAAUCAAGCCUUUGAUUUCUUUUAACCUACAAGUAUUUGAGAAAUGUUUAUUAUGAGACUACCAUUCUGAAAGAACUUCCAUAGAAAUAUAAAAGGUGCGUGGUACUCAGGCCAUCAUUUUGCUAGGGAGGACGAGCGCAUACAUUGAUAGUCACAGUAGAAAACCUAAGAUAUCAUAUCCAUUUCCUCAUAGAUACCAGAAGAACUGUCACAGGUCAAGGGGCCUACGGCAGCCGGAUCCCGGGUAGCCCUGUGAUUUCUACUCUUCUACAAUCCCUGGGAGUGUAGAUUACUUAAUUAAUGGAUAUGGUGAGGACAAGGGAUUAUGGAGAUAUAAAAAAGGUCCUAACUCGGUUAAGCCCAACUGAAUGAGACGUAAAUCCUUAACAGA
ensembl:lncRNA